rnacentral:lncRNA from 1 species
AGAUAUGGUCAGAAGAAAUUUGUGAAUCUUCAAUCAUGUGGACUAAAAAACUGACAUCAAAUGCAAGCAUUGGGUGAAACUAUGAGUUUUGGAAAAUGCUGUUUAUGAAAAAAGAUAUGAAUUCAUUAUAAACAGAGCAGCAAAUUUACGGAACACAUUGGGAACACAGCAAAAUUAUGGAAUACAUUGGAAGUUGUCAAGUCAACAAAUGUAAACAGUUUUGAGA